rnacentral:misc_RNA from 1 species
UCCGGUUUAACACCGGCAGUCUUUCCAGAGUCCCCGGCAUGACCCGCUGGCAACUGGAAACAAGGGUUUCGCUCGUUAUGGGACUUAACCCGACAUCUCACGACACGAGCUGACGACAGCCAUGCAGCACCUGUGAUCGUCUCCGGAUUGGAUACCGGCCGCUCCAACUUUCAUCGGAGCUACUUCGACCAUGUCAAGCCCAGGAUAAGGUUCUUCGCGUAGCCUCGAAUUGAGCCACAUGCUCCACCGCUUGUGUGAGCCCCCGUCAAUUUCUUUGAGUUUCAGCCUUGCGACCAUACUCCCCAGGCGGGGUACUUAACACUUUUGCUUCGGUUGUGAACCCAUGUCAAGUCCACAACCUAGUACCCAUCGUUUAGGGCUAGGACUA